ACUACAUAGUACCUGCUUGACUCUACUUGGCUCGGCUCGACCGCGGUGCACCGUCCUCCUUUUUCCAUUGCAGAUUUAGUACCACCUCAUACGUGAAAUGAGCGUGGGUGGUCGUCAUAGCGACGCCACAGGAAACUGCCG